GUUAUUAGAUACCCUGGUAGUCCACGCGGUAAACGAUGAUUAUUAGGUGUCGGGGGGCAGAGGCCUUUCGGGUNCGCAGCAAACGCAAUAAGUAAUCCACCUGGGGAGUACGUCCGCAAGGAUGAAACUCAAAGGAAUUGACGGGGACCCGCACAAGCGGUGGAGCAUGUGGUUAAUUCGAAGCAACGCGAAGAACCUUACCCGGCCUUGACAUCCCCCUGACAGUGNUAUGUAAUGUACAUUCCCUUCGGGGCAGGGGAGACAGGUGGUGCAUGGUUGUCGUCAGCUCGUGUCGUGAGAUGUUGGGUUAAGUCCCGCAACGAGCGCAACCCUUACCCACAGUAAGCCAGCACAAAAGGUGGGCACUCUGUGGGGACUGCCGGGGACAACCCGGAGGAAGGUGGGGAUGACGUCAAAUCAUCAUGCCCCUUAUGGCCGGGGCUACACACGUGCUACAAUGGCGUAAACAAAGGGAAGCGAGAGAGUGAUCUUAAGCGAAACUCAAAAAUAACGUCCCAGUUCGGAUUGCAGUCUGCAACUCGACUGCAUGAAGCUGGAAUCGCUAGUAAUCGCGGAUCAGAAUGCCGCGGUGAAUACGUUCCCGGGUCUUGUACACACCGCCCGUCACACCAUGGGAGCCGGGAAUGCCCGAAGUCGGUGACCUAACCUGAAAAGGGAGGAGCCGCCGAAGGCAGGUCUGGUAACUGGGGUGAAGUCGUAACAAGG
rnacentral:rRNA from 1 species